ACACGUGGGUAACCUGCCUUAUAGUGGGGGAUAGCCUUUCGAAAGGAAGAUUAAUACCGCAUAAGAUUGUAGUAUCGCAUGAUAUAGCAAUUAAAGGAGCAACCCGCUAUAAGAUGGACCCGCGUCGCAUUAGCUAGUUGGUGAGGUAAUGGCUCACCAAGGCGACGAUGCGUAGCCGACCUGAGAGGGUGAUCGGCCACAUUGGGACUGAGACACGGCCCAGACUCCUACGGGAGGCAGCAUG
rnacentral:rRNA from 1 species